GAUGAACGCUGGCGGCGUGCCUAAUACAUGCAAGUCGAGCGAACGGACGAGAAGCUUGCUUUUCUGAUGUUAGCGGCGGACGGGUGAGUAACACGUGGAUAACCUACCUAUAAGACUGGGAUAACUUCGGGAAACCGGAGCUAAUACCGGAUAAUAUUUUGAACCGCAUGGUUCAAAAGUGAAAGACGGUCUUGCUGUCACUUAUAGAUGGAUCCGCGCUGCAUUAGCUAGUUGGUAAGGUAACGGCUUACCAAGGCAACGAUGGAUAGCCGACCUGAGAGGGGGAUCGGCCACACUGGAACUGGAACACGGCCCAGACUCCUACGGGAGGCAGCAGUAGGGAAUCUUCCGCAAUGGGCGAAAGCCUGACGGGGCAACGCCGCGUGAGUGAUGAAGGUCUUCGGAUCGUAAAACUCUGUUAUUAGGGAAGAACAUAUGUGUAAGUAACUGUGCACAUCUUGACGGUACCUAAUCAGAAAGCCACGGCUAACUACGUG
rnacentral:rRNA from 1 species